rnacentral:rRNA from 1 species
GAUGAACGCUGGCGGCGUGCCUAAUACAUGCAAGUAGAACGCUGAAGGAGGAGCUUGCUCUUCUGGAUGAGUUGCGAACGGGUGAGUAACGCGUAGGUAACCUGCCUGGUAGCGGGGGAUAACUAUUGGAAACGAUAGCUAAUACCGCAUGACAACAGUUAUUGCAUGAUAACUGUUUAAAAGGGGCAACUGCUCCACUACCAGAUGGACCUGCGUUGUAUUAGCUAGUUGGUGAGGUAACGGCUCACCAAGGCGACGAUACAUAGCCGACCUGAGAUGGUGAUCGGCCACACUGGGACUGAGACACGGCCCAGACUCCUACGGGAGGCAGCAGUAGGGAAUCUUCGGCAAUGGACGGAAGUCUGACCGAGCAACGCCGCGUGAGUGAAGAAGGUUUUCGGAUCGUAAAGCUCUGUUGUAAGAGAAGAACGAGUGUGAGAGUGGAAAGUUCACACUGUGACGGUAUCUUACCAGAAAGGGACGGCUAACUACGUG